CACGUAGGGGCCAAGCGUUGUCCGGAUUUAUUGGGCGUAAAGAGCUCGUAGGCGGUUGGGUAAGUCGGGUGUGAAAACCCGUGGCUCAACCCCGGGCCUGCAGUCGAUACGGGCAGACUAGAGUGCGGUAGGGGAGACUGGAAUUCCUGGUGUAGCGGUGAAAUGCGCAGAUAUCAGGAGGAACACCGGUGGCGAAGGCGGGUCUCUGGGCCGUAACUGACGCUGAGGAGCGAAAGCGUGGGGAGCGAACAGG
rnacentral:rRNA from 1 species